CUUCUGCAGGAUCCACCAUGUCAGGUGCAGCCCAGAGCAAGGGACACGGCCCAGGACACUGCUAACCCACGCAUAGCAAACAUCAGUGCUGCGGCAGGUGAUUUGGAAAAGGAGAGCAGAUCAAGUGCAAUCUGAAGAGUCACAGCUGCGGUAACUUUUAGCAGAACCUGUUUCUUUUUUGUAUAAAGAUGGUUGCUACUCCAGUUUGCCUCUGUAUUCAAAAUCUUUUCUUCAUUUCUCUGAAAGAGGACUCUUUAUUUCACAAGAUCAACUGUUGCUACCUUCAAAUGAAACAAUUUGCAUUUUUUCCUAUGGAGGGUCAAAGCUUUAGGGGGUUUUGUGCGUUUUUGUUUGGUUGGGUUUUUAAGGAGACUAUUUCCCUGCUAGUUUCACUACAAUAGCAAUACUGCUAUUAUCAUCUCUACAUGUCUUUCUCCUUCAUUAAGCUUUAAAUUAUCUAACUAUUAAUUAUUUUUAAUAAGACGUUUUUGCUCUUAUUCCUACCGAUGCAACACUAUUUUCCUGCAUGGAACAGAAUCUUUUAGUUGUCUGAACUACAGAUACAACCAGCCCAAAGCUUGCACAAUUUCACUGUGACAUACUGGAUGACAACAGUCCCCCCUUGCCCUUGUAAAGUCUACAAGCUUCCGUACUAUGGAGAAGGUGCUGUUCCAUUUUCCAACUCCAUAAUUAAUACAUUAAACAGGACUGUUUUCAAAUAAAGCCCUGUGGGAGCAAAGUUGAUUUUUUCCUCUGCAAUUAAUAUUAAGGGCCAUUAAUAAUCUUUCUCCACAUUCCCACCAACUUCUACAUGCACACAUUGUCUUGUUGCUGGUCAUCUGCAUUUGUCAAUCUGUUCAUCAAUUGCCUCUGAGAAAUUCCUAAAAAUCUUAGGGAAAUUUAUCAUCUAACUUUGUGUUCAUUAAAUCUGCUCUUUCUUUAAACAUGUUAAAGAAAGUUGCUCUGUCCCUAAUAAACGCAUUUAGAAUAAGCCUCAGACUCUGACAGAAGCCACGUGUACCAUUCCAUAACUAUUUACCGCU